GUCCAGCUGACGAGUCCCGAAUAAGACGAAACGUGCACCCUGGAU
rnacentral:hammerhead_ribozyme from 1 species